rnacentral:rRNA from 2 species
UACGAAGGGUGCAAGCGUUAAUCGGAAUUACUGGGCGUAAAGCGUGCGUAGGCGGUUUGUUAAGUCUGUUGUGAAAUCCCCGGGCUCAACCUGGGAAUGGCAAUGGAUACUGGCAAGCUAGAGUGUGAUAGAGGAUGGUGGAAUUCCCGGUGUAGCGGUGAAAUGCGUAGAGAUCGGGAGGAACAUCAGUGGCGAAGGCGGCCAUCUGGAUCAACACUGACGCUGAGGCACGAAAGCGUGGGGAGCAAACAGG